rnacentral:rRNA from 1 species
AGCAGCCGCGGUAAUUCCAGCUCCAAUAGCGUAUAUUAAAGUUGUUGCAGUUAAAAAGCUCGUAGUUGAAUUUCGGGAUCAAUAUGUCGGUCGUGCCUUCGGUACGUACUGGUAUCAUUGGUCUCUCCUUUCUGACGAACCAUGAUGUCAUUAAUUUGGUGUUAUGGGGAGUUAGGACUGUUACUUUGAAAAAAUUAGAGUGUUUAAAGUAGGCUUUAGCUUGAAUACAUUAGCAUGGAAUAAUGAAAUAGGACGUUCGAACCUAUUUUGUUGGUUUCUAGGAUCAACGUAAUGAUUAAUAGGGAUAGUUGGGGGCAUUAGUAUUCAAUUGUCAGAGGUGAAAUUCUUGGAUUUAUUGAAGACUAACUACUGCGAAAGCAUUUGCCAAGGAUGUUUUCAUUAAUCAAGAACGAAAGUUAGGGGAUCGAAGACGAUCAGAUACCGUCGUAGUCUUAACCAUAAACUAUGCCGACUAGGGAUCGGAUGAUGUUAAUUUUUUAAUGACUCAUUCGGCGCCUUA